rnacentral:lncRNA from 1 species
ACACUGAUGCUGCUAGACUGAGGACAACACUUUGAGAACCACUGGGCGUAGGCCUGCAGUAGCUGGGAUUUUGCACUCCUUCUGCUCUAGGCCUCAGCUUUUUCAUAGACAGUGUUGUGGCUUAUGGCUCCAGAAGAGAGCUGGGAAGGGGCUGGAGGAUGGUCCCUCCUCCCCACUCUUCUGACGGGUUGCUCAGCCCCCAUUUCAAUGACACGCUGUCCUGAGGGCAGCAGCUCCUUUCACAAGUGUUUUUCUGCAUGGCCAUGUUAUAUAUUCUUUAGGGGAGGGGAUGGCAGAGAUGCUUUCUACAUCUACACACAUGCUCCCCUUUCCCUGCGGCACCCUGGCAGACACUCCUAGCACCCCACAGGGUUCUCUGCUAUUGAGCUUUGGGAUCAUCACAGCCAUGUUCUAGGCAGCCCUGCCAAUGGACUGGAGCUGGCCUGUGCAAUUUAGCCUAUUCUCCAUCCUCCAGGAUCCAGAAGCUCUGUAGGGAGGAGGUGGGACAGAGUCUGUGCUGAUCAUAGAAAACUGGAGUCAGAAAUCGACGCCUCUCCUUUCCUCCCAGAAGAUCCACAGUGCUGCCUUUCUUCUCUGGCCCACGACACAUGGACAAUCAAGGUGUUCCCUUAAAUAAGCUCCCGAGCCCUGUAAGAGCCUGUGGAGCCCUGUAACACCCUCCCAUCAUCACCUCCACUGCCACCCCAGAACUUACCGAAGAGCCCCUCGUCAGUCAAUAGCUACCAAAACAGGGACCACUUGCAGAUCCAGAAGUCCCAAGGCUUUAGAUCCCUCAGGCUGAAAAGACACGUACAUGUGCCUGCAGUUGGAAGGUAGAAAGAGGGAGUGUUCCCAGCCCCAGAGGACCAUUUGCCUGCUCUGAUCUCUUUGCUACCCCCAUUUCCACCAGACUCCUCAGUUACAGAAUGAUUGCAAGCUGUGAACCCCUGGGGAAAGGCAGAAAUCAUCCAACCCAGAGGAUGUAGCUCUGCCUCCCAGAUGCCAUGUGCCUGUACUUGACGCACUGUGGCAUCUCAGCUGCCAUGGGGCUCAGAGCUGCUCAAGUCCUUGAAUGUGAAUGCUUUCUUCUCAGAAGAAAAUGUCAGUUAUGGGGACUUAAUCUGUGUCUCACCUGAAUCCCCAGGUCCUGGACUGUUAGGCUACAGCAGAGAAGUUAGGUGAGGUGGGGAAAGGAAAGUAGCUCAUGGCAUCUCUUCUGUAAAGAGAGAUGACACCGCAGGGGCACUCCCCAGUUGGAGAGAGUGAGGACAAGGCACUCGGUGGGUUGCUGUGUCCUGGAAUAGCCAGAAAUGGAGCAGCUGAACAUGAGCAGCCCCUCCCCUGGUACAGAGCUGGACAUGUGGCUCUGGUGUGUUUCGAGCAGGAGGAAGGACAGUGGGACUAUCCCCUGCCCUCCUCUGGCUCUAUGUGUCCAUUAACACAGCCUAACAGGUAACAUCUGAAGUCUUAGCUUCAACACUAGACCAGGCAUGUGGGCAACUAAAUGUACUGGGUUUAAAACAAAACAGCUAUUAAGCCUGGUGUCUUCUGUACAUUUCAGAUUGCUUUUUUUUCUUUUAAUCCUAAAUAGGAAAUAAUACUUACAGCCAGGAGUGGUGGCUCAUGCCUGUAAUCCCAGCACUUUGGGAGGCCGAGGGGGGGUGGAUCACCUGAGGUCAGGAGUUCGAGACCAGCCUGGCAAUAUGGUGAAACCCCAUCUCUAGUAAAAAUACAAAAAAAUUAGCCGGGCGUGGUGGCAGGCACCUGUAAUCCCAGCUACUCGGGAGGCUGAGCCAGGAGAAUCGCUGGAACCUGGGAGGCGGAGGUUACAGUGAGCCGAGACUGUGCCACUGCACUCCAGCCUGGGCAACACAGCAAGACUGCUUCUCAAAAAAGAAAGAAG